GCCCAGAACCCUGACCCCUGGCCUGCUUUUGGUUCUUUCUCUUGGCUUGUAGCCACCCUGCUCUGUUCUCCCUCCCCCCAACUUUACCCAAAACCUGUGGUUCCCCAGGGAACAGAAACCCUACUCCCCACCCGCCCCUCCAGCUCUGCCAGCCAGGACGCUGGCUUGUCUUGGGGAAGUUACAGGUUUGUGUGUGUGUGUGUCACUUGGAAGCUGUUCCAGCCAGGAAGGGAACCCAAGUUGACUUGAAGCCAGGCCCUUAAUUGGAUUGGGUUCCUAGGGAGGCCACCAGCCGGCUCUGCAGCUCUGGAGAAAGGAAGAGCUUCCCUUCACCCUCCUCCAUCCACAUCGCAGCCGAAUCCCAGAUGGCUACCACCCAAUAAGGCCACCGAUUUUUACUGAGAGUCUACUAUGUGCCAAACCCCAGACAGCAUCUUGGCUCUUGAAAAGACUUCGACAGACAAAUACCCAAAUCAAAAUGUCCAAGCCGGGAGGCAGCAAUAAGAGCAGUGACAGAGAGCCCCAGCCAGGUGGCUCAGCCAGCAAAGGUGUUUUGGAUGACCUGAGCUCUGGACGACCUGAAUCCAUAUGGUGGAAGGUCCCAGGCUCUCUACCCGAGCCAUCGCCCUGGCUGGAGAAAUGAUUAGUUCAGAGGACCCAGCCAGAGGAACAGACGAAUCCAUCUAGGAUUAAUAGAUGAAUAGAUCAUCUUGGUGGUUGCUGAAAAUGGAGAGAUGGUGACAGGAUUGUCUGUCUGGAUGAUAGCAUCCAUCCUGUGCCACCUACUGAUGACUGGUUGGUCCCUAUCUCUACCUCAAGCUUAUACUGGCUGCAACUUCCCACUCAAGGUUCAUAUCGUCAGCAUCACCGUACCCUCACCACCACCAUCAUCACCAUCAUCAGACCCCGUACUGUUACUAGAGGAUUUCGGAGCACUUGAUAUGUGCCUUGUCGCACUCAUUGCAAUGUGCUAUCGGCUGUGAAACACUGUCCUGGAGGCCUGAAGAGGCCCUCGAGGGUCUUGAACUCCCAGCACCUGGCACUUACUCACAGGAAGCUAGUUUCUAAAGGCUGAGCCAGUUAAACUUUCAGAGUGGGAGUGUCUUGAAGAGGUUCUGCCCCUCCCUAAAGAUAUAUAGAAAGUUAGCUGUUGCUAGGGGUGCUACCCGGGACACACUUGCAACACAGAGGGG